rnacentral:rRNA from 1 species
UACGUAGGGGGCAAGCGUUGUCCGGAAUCAUUGGGCGUAAAGAGCGCGUAGGCGGCCCUGUAAGUCCGCUGUGAAAGUCAAGGGCUCAACCCUUGAAUGCCGGUGGAUACUGCAGGGCUAGAGUCCGGAAGAGGCGAGUGGAAUUCCUGGUGUAGCGGUGAAAUGCGCAGAUAUCUGGAGGAACACCGGUGGCGAAGGCGGCAUCCUGGACCAACACUGACACUGAGGAGCGAAAGCCAGGGGAGCAAACGGG